ACAACUAGGAGGUUGGCUUAGAAGCAGCCAUCCUUUAAAGAGUGCGUAAUAGCUCACUAGUCGAAUAAUUCUGCGCCGAAAAUUCAACGGGGCUAAGCAUGGUACCGAAACUGCGGAACCCACUGUGGUUGGUAGGGGAGCGUGCUUAAUGCGGCGAAGGCGGACCGAGAGGACCGUUGGAGCGUUAAGCAGUGAGAAUGCCGGUGUGAGUAACGAAAAGAUGGGUGAGAAUCCCAUCCGUCGAAAGCCUAAGGUUUCCAGAGGAAGGUUCGUCCGCUCUGGGUUAGUCGGGUCCUAAGGUCAGGCUGAAAAGCGUAGCCGAUGGACAACAGGUUAAUAUUCCUGUACCGCCCGGUUGACUGAUGGAAUGACGAAGGAGGCUAACCGAAGCUGCUUAGUGGAUUGCAGUUCAAGCGCAAAGGCGGGCAUGCAGGCAAAUCCGCAUGCCGUAACGCUGAAACGUGACGACGCAAGUUCGGUGAAGCCAGACUUCCGAGAAAAGUUUCUAGGGUUAAUCAACCGGGUGCCCGUACCGCAAACGGACACACGUGGGCGAGGAGAGAAUCCACAGACGCGCGAGAAAACUCUUGUCAAGGAACUCGGCAAAAUUGCCCCGUAACUUCGGGAUAAGGGGAGCUCUAAUUGAGCCGCAGAGAAUAGGCCCAAGCGACUGUUUACCAAAAACACAGGUCUCUGCUAAACCGCAAGGUGAAGUAUAGGGGCUGACGCCUGCCCAGUGCUGGAAGGUUAAGAGGAUGUGUCAGGAGCAAUCCAAAGCAUUGAAUUGAAGCCCCAGUAAACGGCGGCCGUAACUAUAACGGUCCUAAGGUAGCGAAAUUCCUUGUCGGGUAAGUUCCGACCCGCACGAAAGGCGUAACGAUUUGGGCGCUGUCUCGACAGGAGACUCGGUGAAAUCAUACUACCUGUGAAGAUGCAGGUUACCCGCGACUAGACGGAAAGACCCCGUGGAGCUUCACUGCAGCCUGAUAUUGGUAUUGGGCAUCGGAUGUACAGGAUAGGUGGGAGACUAAGAAACUGGGACGCCAGUCUCAGCGGAGUCGUCCUUGGGAUACCACCCUUUCGGUGCCUAGUAUCUAACCAGUGGCCAUGAACCUGGUCAUGGGACAUUGUCAGGUGGGCAGUUUGACUGGGGCGGUCGCCUCCCAAAGAGUAACGGAGGCGC
rnacentral:rRNA from 1 species